UACGUAGGGUGCAAGCGUUUGUCCGGAAUUAUUGGGCGUAAAAGAGCUCGUAGGCGGUCUGUCGCGUCUGCUGUGAAAACUCGGGGCUUAACCCCGGGCCUGCAGUGGGUACGGGCAGACUAGAGUGCGGUAGGGGAGGCUGGAAUUCCUGGUGUAGCGGUGAAAUGCGCAGAUAUCAGGAGGAACACCGGUGGCGAAGGCGGGUCUCUGGGCCGUAACUGACGCUGAGGAGCGAAAGCGUGGGGAGCGAACAGG
rnacentral:rRNA from 1 species